UACCUUUUCAGUUUCUGAGUCAGCAGGAGUGUUUCUUUUGCCGGAAAAUCAACAGCCUGAUCUCUCAUCCACUCACAUUUGUCAUCUUCCUACUGCAGGUGCAGAAGAAGUGAAUCUUUCAGAUUUCAAAACCCCAACACUCCCGUCAGAUGGCAGCUCAGACAUUGCAGCUCCGACCACUGGGCAACACCGGCCUCAACCUUAGCUCCGUCGGCUUCGGCGCUUCUCCUCUUGGCAAAGUCUUCGGCGAUGUCUCCGAACAAGACGCAUUCACCGCCGUGCGUGAAGCCUUUCGCCUUGGCGUCAAUUUCUUUGAUACUUCCCCGUACUCCUUCUCUCUCCUUCUCCUUCUUUUAUUUGUUAACAGAUGCAAAGAGAUAUAUCAGUCACUACAUUGGACUCUUUCACACAUAUAGUUGAAUUUAUUUUUUAAAAAAACAUAUUUUUAUAUAACGUCGGCAUCCACUGUUAGAAACCUUUCAGAAAACAUAGAUAUAGUUGAAAUUGUUUAACGAAAAUAUUCUUUUAUUUUACACAAUUGAUGUUACAAAUGAGUAGUGGAUGUAGUGCUAUUGAUUUAAAUGUUUGGAUCUGAUUCUGCACGUUUGAAUUUUACAAAGGAGCACGUAUCUCCACAUACGCUGAUUUAAGAUGUUGGUCCACUUCGGGAAUCAUUUUGCUGCUGAAUUCGAGAAUUAUAUGUGAACUUCUGAAAUUGUUGGUCUUUUACUUAAGUUGGUUAUCUUCAGGUAUUAUGGAGGAACAUUAUCAGAAAAGGUACUAGGGGAGGCUUUGCAGGUUCUUGGAGCGCCUAGAGAUGAGUACAUUGUGUCAACAAAGUGUGGGAGGUACAAAGAGGGGUCCAAAUUUAUAACCGGGGUCGGGGCGGGUUAUAAAUUUGGGUUGGGCGGGUUUAAACAAUUGACUGGGUGGGCUAAUCUGGACCAAUGUAAGACUGCCACGUGUUUAAAAAUAUUGAGGAAACAAGUUUUAACGGUGGAAGGGUAUAUGUGGCCCGAAUGUGUAACGGUGGGGGUAUAUUUGUUAGAGAAUUCAAACGGAGGAUAAAUGUAGCUUAUUUUGAAUAGUACAAGGGCAAAUCUGACCCUUAACCGUUUUGUAAAAGAAGUACUUACGAAAGUUUGAGUUUUAAGAUAAAAAUGAAUAUCCGAAAGGGGGCGAGAUGACUUUAUAUAGAGUAUAGACAGGAACUUUAGAUCACAGUUUGAUGAGUUGUUUAAUUUCUUGAUUUCGUUUUCUUUUUCUUUGUUGUAAAAUUAAU
rnacentral:lncRNA from 1 species